UACGUAGGGUGCAAGCGUUAAUCGGAAUUACUGGGCGUAAAGCGUGCGCAGGCGGUGAUGUAAGACAGGUGUGAAAUCCCCCGGGCUUAACCUGGGAACUGCGCUUGUAACUGGCAAGCUAGAGUGUGGCAGAGGGGGGGUGGAAUUCCACGUGUAGCAGUGAAAUGCGUAGAGAUGUGGAGGAAUACCGAUGGCGAAGGCAGCCCCCCUGGGCCCAAUACUGACGCUCAUGCACGAAAGCGUGGG
rnacentral:rRNA from 1 species